rnacentral:rRNA from 1 species
UACGGAGGGGGCUAGCGUUGUUCGGAAUUACUGGGCGUAAAGCGCGCGUAGGCGGACCUGCAAGUCGGGGGUGAAAGCCCGAGGCUCAACCUCGGAACUGCCUUCGAUACUGCGGGUCUCGAGUCCGGGAGAGGUGAGUGGAAUCCUAGUGUAGAAGGUGAAUUCGUAGAUAUUAGGAAGAACACCGGUGGCGAAGGCGGGUCUCUGG